UACGGGGGGGGUAAGCGUUGUUCGGAAUUACUGGGCGUAAAGGGCUCGUAGGCGGCCAACUAAGUCAUACGUGAAAUCCCUCAGCUUAACUGGGGAACUGCGUGUGAUACUGGAUGGCUUGGAUUUGGGAGAGGGAUGCGGAAUUCCGGGUGUAGUGGUGAAAUGCGUAGAUAUCGGGAGGAACACCAGUGGCGAAGGCGGCUUUCUGGCCUGUUCUUGACGCUGAGGCGCGAAAGCUAGGGGAGCGAACGGG
rnacentral:rRNA from 1 species